CAGUAGCCGCGGUAAUACGAAGGGUGCAAGCGUUAAUCGGAAUUACUGGGCGUAAAGCGUGCGUAGGCGGUGAGUUAAGUCUGCUGUGAAAUCCCCGGGCUCAACCUGGGAACUGCGCUUGAGACUGCACAGCUAGAGUAUGGCAGAGGGGGGUGGAAUUCCGCGUGUAGCAGUGAAAUGCGUAGAUAUGCGGAGGAACACCGAUGGCGAAGGCAGCCCCCUGGGCCAACACUGACGCUCAUGCACGAAAGCGUGGGGAGCAAACAGGAUUAGAUACCCGCGUAGUCCCUGUCUCUUAUCC
rnacentral:rRNA from 1 species